AGAAUCAACGCUGGCGGCGUGCCUAACACAUGCAAGUCGAACGAGAAAGUGGAGCAAUCCAUGAGUAAAGUGGCGACCGGGUGAGUAACACGUGACUAACCUACCUUCGAGUGGGGGAUAACCUCGGGAAACCGGGGCUAAUACCGCAUAACAUCUUUGGAGUGGAAAUUUCGGAGAUCAAAGGGGCAAUUCGCUUGAAGAGGGGGUCGCGGCUGAUUAGCUAGUUGGCGGGUAACGCCCACCAAGGCUUAGAUCGGUA
rnacentral:rRNA from 1 species